rnacentral:rRNA from 1 species
GUAGGUGGCAAGCGUUGUCCGGAAUUAUUGGGCGUAAAGCGCGCGCAGGCGGUUCUUUAAGUCUGAUGUGAAAGCCCACGGCUCAACCGUGGAGGGUCAUUGGAAACUGGAGAACUUGAGUACAGAAGAGGAAAGCGGAAUUCCACGUGUAGCGGUGAAAUGCGUAGAGGUGUGGAGGAACACCAGUGGCGAAGGCGGCUUUCUGGUCUGCAACUGGCGCUGAGGCGCGAAAGCGUGGGGAGCAAACAGGGAUUAGAUACCCUGGUAGUCCACGCCGUAAACGAUGAGUGCUAAGUGUUAGGGGGUUUCCGCCCCCUUAGUGCUGCAGCUAACGCAUUAAGCACUCCGCCUGGGGAUACGGCCGCAAGGCUG